rnacentral:rRNA from 1 species
ACCUACCUUGUACAGGGGGAUAGCCUUUAGAAAUGAAGAUUAAUACCCCAUAAUAUUAUUGGAUCGCAUGGUUUGAUAAUUAAAGGUUACGGUACAAGAUGGGUAUGCGUCCUAUUAGCUAGAUGGUGUGGUAACGGCAUACCAUGGCAACGAUAGGUAGGGGCCCUGAGAGGGGGAUCCCCCACACUGGUACUGAGACACGGACCAGACUCCUACGGGAGGCAGCAGUGAGGAAUAUUGGACAAUGGAGGGAACUCUGAUCCAGCCAUGCCGCGUGCAGGAAGACUGCCCUAUGGGUUGUAAACUGCUUUUAUACAGGAAGAAACAGUGGUACGUGUACCACCUUGACGGUACUGUAAGAAUAAGGAUCGGCUAACUCCGUGCCAGCAGCCGCGGUAAUACGGAGGAUCCAAGCGUUAUCCGGAAUCAUUGGGUUUAAAGGGUCCGUAGCGGACUGGUCAGUCAGAGGUGAAAUCCUGCAGCUCAACUGUAGAACUGCCUUUGAUACUGCUAGUCUUGAAUCAUUAUGAAGUGGUUAGAAUAUGUAGUGUAGCGGUGAAAUGCAUAGAUAUUACAUAGAAUACCAAUUGCGAAGCAGAUCACUAAUAAUGUAUUGACACUGAUGGACGAAAGCGUAGGUAGCGAACGGGAUUAGAUACCCCGGUAGUCUACGCCGUAAACGAUGGAUACUAGCUGUUCGACUUCGGUUGAGUGGCUAAGCGAAAGUGAUAAGUAUCCCACCUGGGGAGUA